GAAGAUUUGGUAGAAAUGAGCCCUGGUGUGCAGCAUCCCUUGAGGGGUCUGUUUUCUUCGAAAUUACCUUCUUCAGUGUACCAGAAAUAUCUUACCUGAUGAAGGAGAGCCAACAGAUGAAGAAACAACUGGAGAUAUCAGUGAUUCCAUGGAUUUUGUACUGCUCAACUUUGCAGAAUGAACAAGCUCUGGGUGCGAAUGCAGCAUCAGGGACAUAGCCGAGAUAGAGAAAAAAGAGAAUGAGAAAGACAAGAACUGAGAAUUUUAGUGGGAACAAAUUUGGUGCGUCAGUCACUGGAAGUGUAAAUGUGGAACGUUACAACAGAUUGUUUUGAACUGGCAUAUUGGAGCAAGUUGUAAACUGUAGGAUGCUUUGGCUCAAGAAUAUCUCAUGGAGUGUGUUAUUCAGGUAGGUUUUCCUGAUGAAUUUCACCUCCAGACUUUGAAUCCUUUUCUUCGAGCCUGUGCUGAGUUACACCAGAGUGUAAAUGUGAAAAACAUAAUCAUUGCUUUAACUGAUAGAUUAGCUUUAUUUGCUCACCGUGAAGAUGGACCUGGAAUCCCAGCGGAUAUUAAACUGUUUGAUAUAUUUUCACAGCAGGUGGCUACAGUGAUACAGUCUAGACAAGACAUGCCUUCAGAGGAUGUUGUAUCUUUACAAGUCUCUCUCAUUAAUCUUGCCAUGAAAUGUUACCCUGAUCGUGUGGACUAUGUUGAUAAAGUUCUAGAAACAACAGUGGAGAUAUUCAAUAAGCUCAACCUUGAACAUAUUGCUACCAGUAGUGCAGUUUCAAAGGAACUCACCAGACUUUUGAAAUACCAGUUGACACAACAAUAUUUUAACAGUCUUGAAAUUAAAACAUUUUCACCCACUCUUUGAAUACUUUGACUACGAGUCCAGAAAGGGCAUGAGUUGUUAUGUGCUUAGAAUGUUCUGGAUUAUAACACAGAAAUUGUCUCUCAAGACCAGGUGGAUUCCAUAAUGAAUUUGGUAUCCACGUUGAUUCAAGAUCAGCCAGAUCAACCUGUAGAAGACCCUGAUCCAGAAGAUUUUGCUGAUGAGCAGAGCCUUGUGGGCCGCUUCAUUCAUCUGCUGCGCUCUGAGGACCCUGACCAGCAGUACUUGAUUUUGAACACAGCACGAAAACAUUUUGGAGCUGGUGGAAAUCAGCGGAUUCGCUUCACACUGCCACCUUUGGUAUUUGCAGCUUACCAGCUGGCUUUUCGAUAUAAAGAGAAUUCUAAAGUGGAUGACAAAUGGGAAAAGAAAUGCCAGAAGAUUUUUUCAUUUGCCCACCAGACUAUCAGUGCUUUGAUCAAAGCAGAGCUGGCAGAAUUGCCCUUAAGACUUUUUCUUCAAGGAGCACUAGCUGCUGGGGAAAUUGGUUUUGAAAAUCAUGAAACAGUCACAUAUGAAUUCAUGUCCCAGGCAUUUUCUCUGUAUGAAGAUGAAAUCAGUGAUUCCAAAGCACAGCUAGCUGCCAUCACCUUGAUCAUUGGCACUUUUGAAAGGAUGAAGUGCUUCAGUGAAGAGAAUCACGAACCUCUGAGGACUCAGUGUGCCCUUGCUGCAUCCAAACUUCUAAGAAACCUGAUCAGGGCCGAGCUGUGAGCACCUGUGCACAUCUCUUCUGGUCUGGCAGAAACACGGACAAAAAUGGGAGGAG